rnacentral:lncRNA from 1 species
AAUAUGUGAUAAUCACAUUCUUCACAUAGCUGGUGGGAAGUUUCGGCUGGUUCUCCACAAGAGGAGGGGUGUGUGCAUAUGUGUGUGUAUGUGUGUGUGCAUGUGUAUGUGUGCGUGUACUCGUGCGUGUGCUCGUGUGUGUGUGUGUGUGUCAUUCCUCUGUUCUCUGGAGGCCCCACAGAGAAAGAAAGAGUUAUGGAACAAAUAGGUCUCACACAUUACACAACAGUACCACCAAUACAAACCAUCAGCUCAGUUAUACUCCCAGUACAAACCAUCAUGUCAGAAAUCCUCCCAGUACAAACCACCAGGUCAGACAUCCUCCCAGUACAAAACAUCAGCUCAGAUAUCCUCCCAGUACAAACCAUCAGGUCAUAUAUCCUCCCAGUACAAACCAGAUAUACUCCCAGUACAAACCAGAUAUACUCCCAGUACAAACCAUCAGGUCAGAAAUCCUCCCAGUACAAACCAUCAGGUCAGAUAUCCUCCCAGUACAAACCAUCAGGUCAGAUAUCCUCCCAGUACAAACCAUCAGGUCAGAUAUCAUCCCAGUACAAACCAGAUAUACUCCCAGUACAAACCAGAUAUACUCCCAGUACAAACCAAUAUACUCCCAGUACAAACCAGAUAUCAUCCCAGUACAAACCAGAUAUACUCCCAAUACAAACCAAAUACACUUCCAUUACAAACCAGAUAUACUUCCAGUACAAACCAGAUACACUUCCAAUACAAACCAGAUAUACUCCCAGUACAAACCAGAUACACUUCCAAUACAAGCCAGGUACACUUCCAGUACAAACCAGAUAUACUCCCAAUACAAACCAGAUACACUCCCAGUACAAACCAGAUACACUUCCAGUACAAACCAGAUAUACUCCCAAUACAAACCAGAUAUGCUCCCAGUACAAACCAGAUAUACUCCCAGUACAAACCAGAUAUACUCCCAGUACAAACCAGAUACACUUCCAGUACAAACCAGAUACACUUCCAAUACAAACCAGGUACACUUCCAAUACAAACCAGGUACACUUCCAGUACAAACCAGAUAUACUCCCUGUACAAGGCAGAUGCACUUCCAGUACAAACCAGAUAUACUCC